CGGAUCAGCAUGCCGCGGUGAAUACGUUCCCGGGCCUUGUACACACCGCCCGUCACACCAUGGGAGCCGGUAAUACCCGAAGUCAGUAGUCCAACCUCGUGAGGACGCUGCCGAAGGUAGGAUUGGCGACUGGGGUGAAGUCGUAACAAGGUAGC
rnacentral:rRNA from 1 species